rnacentral:tRNA from 1 species
GCCCUUAUAGUCUAGCGGUUAGGACGCGACCCUCUCACGGUUGAGACUGGGGUUCGAUUCCCCAUAAGGGUACCA